AUGGAGUGCUUUUAAAAAGUAACUUUCAAAUUUUUCUGUAGUCUUCAGACAAGUACUGAGGUUCUUCCAACUCCUCAACUUGGCACAAACAAUUCCUCUUCUCUCAACUAUUCCUAGCAAAGCUUUGCCAGCUAUUGAAUUGUUUGUUGUAGGUAAGAAUUCUUUAAAUAGUCCACAAGCUUUAAGAAUGGAGAAAGAGUCACCAUAUGGAAAAAUGCCAGGUAGUUCUUCAUUAGAAUUACUUAAGGGUGACCUUUGAUGUACUUGAUCAAUUGCAUGAGUCACUAUUUCUGAGAAUUGCAAAUGAUUUUACAUCUCCCCUCCUCUGCUCCAGAUUGCUUCCUUUGCUGGAAAGUGUGCUAUUGAAGACAUCACUUUUCUCAUCUGCUCUGGGCUUCAUUUGCAGGCUUCAUUGAAACAUUUCAUUGCAUCUGAUACCCUUCUUUUUAAAAUAGAAACAAAAACCUGAGCAAUUUUUGAUGCAUUGGACUGAGUGGAUAUAUUAGAAGCUUUGUGGCAAAGGCGUUGCUUUAUGUUCUAUAAAGGUAUUCAGAGAUGACUGGUUACUUGGUGGUAUGCUUUCUACCUGAAUGCAGGAAGAAUACAUUGAUAGGUAGAAAUGAGGAAAGAAGUUAGUCACCGUUGCAGAAUGCAGAGCCUUGUUAGCAUGGUACUUUUAAUAGUGCCAUCCAUUUGAGAAGAACAAUGAAACACUGAAACAGAGAUAUUGAAACAGACGGCAUAAAAGAGGUUUGCUUUUAGCUGCUGCUCAUUAAUUUUAUCUGGAACUCAAGUAGUAUGCUAAGUAAGAGAAGGAGUGCUUUAUAACACUGGAAUUUGAUUUCCACUAUGCACAAUUUUAUUGUAUUCAUCUGACUUCACAUACACCUGUCCACAUGUAACAUAAUGCAAAUUCAUAGAGAAAUAUAGACCCAAACAAAUGGGCUGUUUUAUCUGGAAAAGAGCCAGAAGCAUUAGUCUAUUAUUUUUUCAGGCUUUCUCUGAGUUUUCAGUGAUGGAUUUUCAAGAUGAAAAUAUGUAUGUAUUUAAUAUGUAUUUAGCAACAUUCAUAACAUUCAACAUUCAAUAUUCAUAAUAUUAUAUUGUAAUACGAUAUAAUACGAUAUA